UGGCAGCCUUAGAACAGGCGCUGAGGUACAGCUCCAUCGCCAGCCCCGGGCCCUUCUACCCUCAGCCGCCCUCUCCUGUGUCCUUCCUUCGCACCCCUUUCCCCGUCGUCGUCCCUCCGUCGCCACUGGAUCCAGAAUGAUAUUGUCAUGUUUCCUUCAAAGAAAUUACACUGCUUUGUGAUUUAUCUGUGGUUUAUCCUCCCACAAAUGGAGAUUGGAUAAGGUAUGUGCCUGCUGUUAAUAUCUUCUUUCUAUGUUGGAUAAAUCUUUCUCAUAGGCUGUGGUUUCAAGUAAUGGCUAAAAUUAGUUUUUCUAAUUUUGUUUGCUUGUUUUAAAGACAGUGGAGAUUCUUUCCCCUCUUCAUUUUUGAUUUUGUAUUUUGAAAUCUUUGCUAACUUCAAGCAAAAUCACUACUUUUAUGUUAUUUUUAGAAUUAUGUAAGUUUGGAGGAUAAGUAAAAUGAAAGUAGUGACCAAGUUGCUUAGUAUGGACUAACUUGCAAAAGAUAAUUUUUGUAUUUUUUUUAAAUCAAUGCAAAAUUUAGUAAUUGUAAUAAACAUAUGUAUACUUCUGGCCUAAAAUGUAUCACAAAUUUAAAAAAAAACCUGAAUUUGUCAGCCUGACUAUGCACAAAAGAGUUAAUGCAGUUGGCCUGAGACUGGUAUUUUUUAGAAAAGCCUACUUGAAAAGUUCUCUCUUGAUUGGAGUUGGGGAACUUGGUAGUUGAGCCAUUCAUGAAGUGAUAACUGGUUCACUGUGCCUAAACUGCUUAUGAAAUCAAUAUGGUUUAUGCUGGACAUAUGCCUUCUGUCUGGGGGUCUGCAAAUUUGAUAUGUACUAGGCAGCAGGUGCUUACAUGAUAAACUAGCAUUAAAAACCUUGGGCUUUGUUAUGGGUUGAAUUGUGUCCAUCUAAAAUUCAUAUGUGGAAAUCCUGUCAGUACCUGUAUUUGGAGAGAGGGUCUUUAUACAUGUAAUUAAGUUAAAAUGAGGUCACUAAGAUGCAUCUUAAUCUAAUAUGACUGGUAUUUUUAUGGGAAGAAGAAAUUAGGACACGGAUAGGCAUAGAGGGAAGACCAUGUGAAGACAUGGGUAUGUCUAAUCACAAUAAAAUGAAAAUUCUUUAAGGAAAAUUUUUGUCUGUCUUCUUCAAUGUACUCUUCAAUAACUAGAGCAGUACCCAAUAAUUAUUAUUAGGUAGAAAAAACUCAAUAGUAGAUAUUUAGUAAAUAACACUUCAGAAAAUAAGUGAAUCAAUUCUCCCCCCACCCCCAGUCACUGCUUAAAUAGUGCCAAUGUGUGCUUCAGAAUAGCUUUUCUUUUCUUUUUUCUUUUCUUUUCUUGUCUUUUCUUUUUUCUUUUCUUUUCUUUUCUUUUCUUUUCUUUUCUUUUCUUUUCUUUUCUUUUCUUUUCUUUUCUUCUUUUAUUCAUCUCUGAGAACCCAUCCUUCUAACUGACACUGUCUCCUUUUAGAUAGAAUCCCACAUUUUUAACUCCUAAAUUACUGUUUUCCCACAUAAUGUUGAGAACAUGAUCUAUAGAACAGUAAAAACACCAUGUGAUGGCUUACCAUUCUUUAUCUCAUCCAUUUAUUAAAGACUAGGUACAUUAUUAAACUGUAGUAAUAACUUUGUUGCAUAGUUUCCUUGACUGAAUUGGAAUAUUUUAAUCAUGUUUGUUCAGCAUUCAUAUAUUAAUCCUUACAAAAGCUAUCAGUAUAUGCAGAUUAAAUAAAUUACAGGGUUUAUUGAUGUGCAUAAAUGUAGCUAUUUUGUUAAAUGGAAGAACAAAAAUUAUUAGUAUCUUGUGAAAUUAACUCAGUAGAUCAAGGCAAUAUUUUUAAAGUUACAACAAAAGAGAAAAGAAUAGAAAAUAGUGAGCUUCAGGUUUAACAAGAGUAUCACUUUAUGAAAAUUUGUUUUAAUUAUAGAUAUAUAACUUACAUAUUUUGCUUAUAUAAAUAUGUACGAUAUAUAAUGUAUAUCUUGUGAAUUUAAGGAAGGAGUGUUUUGAAGUAACACAAGAUAAUGGAUUAUGAGCAUCUAUAUUUCAAAAAAAGAUUCAUUUUUUAAAAAAUUUAUUUAUUUACUUAGAGAGAGAGACAGGGAAUGAGCAGGGGUGGGGCAGAGAGAGGGAACGAGAGAAUCUCAAGCAGACUCUGCACUGUAAGCACGGAGCUGGAUGCAGAGCUCCAUCCAGUGAACUGUGAGAUCUGCUUAACUGAUUGAGCCACUCAGGAACCUCUCAAUAAAAGAUUCUAAAAAGUGAAAACCCUUCAGAAUAUUAGAACAGAAAAGGUUAUUAGUUAUCUUUUAAGUGGAUACUUUUAUUUUGCAAGUAAGGAUACAAGGGAUCAGUAAAGUGAAGUCUUCCAAAAUUACAAAUUAGAUUAGUGGGAGCUUUAAGUUAUCACUCAAGUCUUCUGUCAGUUUACCACCAAAUCAUACAGCUAAAGAGAAUAUUAUGCUUCAUGCUGUCUCAGCAUGUAAUUUGGGGUCUGUUCUACUCAUUAGACUGAAACUGGCAUCAAGUUAAGUUUAUUUUUUUUCCCAGUAAACACAUUUGUUAUAGUAAGUUCAAUCACCAUAGAAAUGUGGUUGUUCUUUUCAAAUUGUUUAAAGAAUAUUCAUUUAAAUAAAGUACCUCUAAUUGUGGCUAUGUAAUUUCUUUACUUUUGAAUCCUUCUGAUACUGAAUUAAGAGAAACUUGUUUUUUGUUAACAUGGAAUAAUUUUCACCUUUUCGUGUAGUUGGUAUUAUAAGUAUUCAGAAUAAGUGCUAAUUAAAAAUAUUACUACUUCCUUAUCAUCUUCUGCCAGCUGGCCCUUUAUAUUAACAUUGAAGGGUUAUUUCAGGAAGCAGCUUAUCAGGUCUGGGGCUUUUUUUGGUUUGUUUGGAUGGUUAGUUUUUUCACCUAAUUAGUGAACAGUCUGAGAAGGGUUUUAUUUUUAGCAAUUGCAAAACUAAUGAAGGUGGGAAUACAAAUGACCUUAGAAGACAUUCUUAGAAGACAUUCUGUAGAAAAAAAAAAUUCUCCCAAUUCUUUGCUCUUUUAUUUGAGGCUUUCUGUCUGGAUUCUACCUUGUCUGAUGUUAGCAGCUUACUCCUGUUAUAUCAUUAGUGUUUGCAUGUUUGUUAUAAUAUUGCCUACCUACUUUUGAAUUACUUUGUUUUAGCUAUAUCUCUUACAUACAGAAAACAGUUGGUGUUUUUUGUGGGAUAAUUUGAAACCUUAUUUUUAAAAAUUUAAUAGAUUAACCCAUUUUUACCUAUUAACAUAAUUGUAUAUACAUUCUAAUCAAUCAAACUAGUUUAUGCUAUUUACUAAGAUUCUUUAGAGGAUUUUGUCUCUUUUGGUUUACCUUGUUAAAGACCUUAGCUGCCUUGUAAAUAUUGCUUCUAAUUUUUUUAGAUAUCUUUACACAAAUAGAAUGGUAAAAUCAUUUUGAAUUACAGACUCAUAAGCAUAUGUUUUAACAUUUUCAUUCUGGCCCAGGGAACGGAAAUUAAAAGGCAAUAAUGUCCAUUCAAAAUUCUGUCCAAAUUUAAGAGGCCAUCAGAGCCAUUGUUUCUUGCUAAGAUCUUGAAAAUACAGAAAAUAAAAUGUUUUCUUUAAGUGAGAAAGAGGAGGAAAUUCAGAGAAAGUUUGUCAUUUAAGGAUUGAAUAUUCUGUGUGCCCUCAUUUACAUAGCUACUUCAUUUCAAGUAUGAUCUUAUUAGUCUCUGAUGGAUCUGAAUAUUGGA